rnacentral:rRNA from 1 species
AUUGAACGCUGGCGGCAUGCUUUACACAUGCAAGUCGAACGGUAACAGGUCUUCGGAUGCUGACGAGUGGCGAACGGGUGAGUAAUGCAUCGGAACGUGCCCAGUCGUGGGGGAUAACGCAGCGAAAGCUGUGCUAAUACCGCAUACGAUCUAUGGGUGAAAGCGGGGGAUCGCAAGACCUCGCGCUAUUGGAGCGGCCGAUAUCAGAUUAGGUAGUUGGUGGGGUAAAAGCCUACCAAGCCGACGAUCUGUAGCUGGUCUGAGAGGACGACCAGCCACACUGGGACUGAGACACGGCCCAGACUCCUACGGGAGGCAGCAGUGGGGAAUUUUGGACAAUGGGCGCAAGCCUGAUCCAGCCAUGCCGCGUGCGGGAAGAAGGCCUUCGGGUUGUAAACCGCUUUUGUCAGGGAAGAAAUCCUUUGAGUUAAUACCUCGGGGGGAUGACGGUACCUGAAGAAUAAGCACCGGCUAACUACGUG